rnacentral:rRNA from 1 species
GUCUUUUUGAUUAUAAUUUAAAGUCUGACCUGCCCAAUGAGUAUUUGAAUGGCCGCGGUAAUUUGACCGUGCAAAGGUAGCAUAAUCAUUAGUUUUUUAAUUGGAAGCUGGAAUGAAUGGUUGGACGAGAAAAUAACUGUCUCAAUUUAAUUUCAUGUAGAACUUUAUUUAUAAGUAAAAAAGCUUAUAUAAUUUUAAAAGACGAGAAGACCCUAUAGAGUUUUACAUUUAAUUAUAUUAGUUAAGUUUAGUAUAUUUACAUAUUUAAUAUGUUUAAAUGUUUUGCUGGGGCAGCAGAAAAAUUGAAUAAACUUUUUUUAUUACUAUUACAUUGAUUUAUGAUUUAAUGAUCCAUUUUUUAUGAUUAUAAGAUUAAAUUACCUUAGGGAUAACAGCGUAAUUUUUUUUUAGAGUUCUUAUCGAAAAAAGAGUUUGCGACCUCGAUGUUGGAUUAAAAUUAACUUUUGGUGUAGGGGCUAAAAGGUUAGGUCUGUUCGACCUUUAAAAUUUUACA